rnacentral:lncRNA from 14 species
CAAAAGGAGAACCAGGCAGGGAGCAAAGUGAUGUGCCCAAGGUCGGAGAGCAUUGGGAACAGAAUGCAUAUGCUGCAAGCAAAGAGCUCCAAAUCCUGUCUCGGCAUCAGCAGCUCAGAGGUGGAAGUGGUUCUCAUCCUUCUGCACUGAUGGCUUCUGAAGAGGGAGCAGCAAAUGGAUGGACCUGAUAGUCACCCCCAAGAAGUCUUGCACCAUUCUUCAGGCCUGGAUAUGCCAAAAGAGUGGGAUGCUGAAACAGCUUCAGGUGACACCAUCAGCAGAACAGUGCCCAGAAGUCCUUGGUUGCCCCCCAGGGAUAGAGCUGCUUGGAGAGACCCACCUGCAUCAAAUGCAUCUCAGUCAGCUCACAGGCUGGGAUGCAUUUAAACACACAAAUGAGCCUCUUCCUCUUGGUGCUGCUGGGCAUCCAGACCGGAUUACCCAGGAAUAUGUUUUUUCCUGUGCAUCCUGAUGUCUGUUUAGCUGUUCCCACUAAGCUGUUCUUUGUCCUGCAGAUACAUUUAACCUAUUACUUCUAGCUUGUUUGCACCUCUGUUUACUUGCUUGCCUCCAUAGGUGUAUAAAUAAGAACAUUUUCACAUCCAGAGCUAAUGAAAGGGUAAAGAUGAGCUGGAGUUGGGCUUUUAACACUCAUUUACCUGUGGUUUGCAGAAGAUGUGUGCUCCUGCUAAAUUUUAGGUGCAGAUUAAGCUGCAUGGCUCCCAUUUGAGCUAGCCAGAGCCUUGUUUCUAUAAGCAUCCUCUGUCUUUCUAAGCAUCAUAUCCUCUUCUGUGUCUGUUAGCCACAUUUGCUGGUGCCCUGUGUCGCAUGGAAAGUGAGUGAUAGAACACUCUGGUCUGUACAUGGCUAUUACAGGGCUGCCCCAUAAAUGAGACUCUGGAGCAUUUCUCCCCAUGCAGUUCUAAAUUACCCAGCAAAGAAGCCUGUUGCAUCCUCUUUCCCUUGCAGGAUUAGCCUAAAGAAUCCCUGUUUCCUUACAGAAUAGCAAAGCAAAAAGAGGGUUGCACAGCUUUCAGCUGGCCCCCUCUGUGUUCUUGGGUGCGUGAAGGAUGUUCUCUCUGCUUGCUAAACCUGUUGAUGCCUUUCCUAGCAGGUCCUCUUUGAUGUAGGCAGCACAGGUCUCUGGAAGCAGUGUGGCUGUUCAAACACAGGCUCCACGCACACCUUUGCCUGCCUGUGUGGGUGGGUUUUGUGUUCCUGCUUAUCUAAAGCUUGUUGCUGUGAACGGCUUGUGACACUGAUGGAAACGCUGGUUGACAGCAGGCAUGGGGAGACCAUUCAGAGCUGGCUUUGUUGUCUGUAUGCUUCUCUAUGACAAAACAGUGUUGUCCCUAAGGCUAUAGCAAGUCUGGGUUUUUCUCAGGAGCUUGAUCUGGGUGUAACUUUAAAGCUCUGAGGUUUGGAGCUGCAUUUCCAGUAGGAUUGCCAGACAUGGCCAUCACAUGGGUGUC